AACAACAUCAAGAACAACAGGACAUGAGCAUCACAACAGGAUGACAGACCCACUUCCUGCACUUCCAUGUAUAGGACUGAAGCAUAGAGAGAGAGAGCAUGUUCCACACCAAUUUUGAAUAAGCAAAAGGUUUGAAACUACACAAGGUCAUAAAAAAACAUCCCAGGAUCUUUAAGCAUCCAGAUGAAGGAAGGGGGCAAGCCACGACAUGGGGCCAUCAUACGUCGGUUAUUAUGAGGGUCAGCCAAGAGACAAUAUAUGCUGGCUGCUACGAAAGCGAACGGUCAGUUCGCUGGAGUCCGUGUGAAUCGGUCCAGGCUUAGGCAUCAGACCACCACAGUACUCCCAGGAAACUAGACGAAAUGCAAGUAAACUUAGUGAAAAUAUAACCCUAGAUAAGGAAUUAGAUUCAUAUUGAGUUAUUAGUAAUAUGAAUGCCAAAAAAAAAAGUCACUUAUGAAACCAAAAAGGCUGAAAUAGUUUGUUUCUGGAAAGUUUAUGACUUGUCUACUGAUGAAAGAUAACACCCUGAACACUGAUGAGAUUUUGAUCAGCUCUGAUGAUUAUCAUAACACUUUAAUAUGUAAAACAUUUGACCCAAGGGUCAACACACCAAGAGGUGUGAAUGACAAAACUGCACCAAAACAAAGCUUUAGUCAUUCAACAUCACUCAACUGCUGUUUAAGAAUCACUCAGAAUGGAAUUCCAGCCAUCCUGCUGCAGGACGCUUUGAUCAGUGGUAUGGCGGAGGGUCGACUCGGACACCAUAACAGCGUUGACUUUUAUACAUAUCUGAGACUUGUUAUAACACUUAUAUAUCAUUGCUCUUUUUGUUGUUUUUGAUUGCUUCCACUGUCCUCAUUUGUAAGUCGCUUUGGAUAAAAGCGUCUGCUAAAUGAAUAAAUGUAAAUGUAAUGUAUGUAUAAUGCAUAUGAAAAACAAUGCUAUUAUUGACAAUAAAUGGCAUAUAAAAGAAAACUGCCUAAUGUUACUGAGUGAAAUGUCGAUCCAGGAUGUGGCAAAGCACUGUUGCAAAUUUUGGGGUGUUGAUGGAAGUGAUCUACUGGAUCUUUGUUUUGAUCAUCCUAUUGAAUAUGAUCCAGAUGUAGUAUUUGAUAAAAA